rnacentral:lncRNA from 1 species
CUCAACAUCAUCCGUGAUAUUAUGUUGUUGGAAAGCUUCAACAAAGCUUGAGUGAGGUUCACGCUUUCUUCAACCUUGGAUUUAUUUUCCAAAGUUUGAAUGAACUCGUUGAGUUCUCGAGUUCGAAUUGGUAAGAAUUGUCCAAUAGUCCGGUUGCCUAAGAGCUCAAAGGUACUAAGCUUUUUGAUGAAUUUCCAAUAUGCCCCAUAAGGGGCAAAAGCAAAAGUAGCAUCAUCGUAGACAACUGUGUUGAUGGCAAUGUUCAUUUUACGGGAAGAAUAAACAAGCUCGUUUGUUUUGAGAAACUCUUUUGCGAGUGAUGGGGAACUAACAACGAUAAAUGGAACAGAACCAAGUCGAAGGGAUAUAAGGGGUCCAUAUCGAUCAGAGAGGUCGCGAAAGGCUUGAUGAACGAGGGGUUUGAGGAGAUGAAGAUGACCAAUUAUUGGUAUUGCUAGUGGACUUGGAGGGUAAGGUAAGUGCUCCUUUGCUCUGUUGUUUCUCUUAAACAAAAAGAGUUGGAGAAGGAAGAGGAGGAAUAGAAUCAAAGCUAAUAAGAUUGGCUGAGAAAUCAUCUUGGUUAUUGUCUUUAUAUUGGAAAUGAAAACUCAUGAGAAUAGUUGAGAAAUGAUUGUGGGAUUUGGAUUACCUCCUUGAGCAUUUUAUAGUGUAUACGUUACACUAAUGAAACCAUCUCUAGAGAGGAAAGUAGUGGUAAGCACUAACUAACUACACUAAUGAAACCACCUAGGGGUACAAGUAAAAUAGACCAUGUGAGGUGCACCGUCCAACAUUUUGUCCAAUCUUGGAAUAAUAUUUAUAAACUUUUUUUUUUCUUUUCAACUUUGUCAUUUAAGAUUGAUAAAAAUACAAAUACUUUUUUUUUGGUGCAAAUAAAAAUACAUAUACUAUCAACGGUAUGAUGUAAAACAGCUGACAAAUCAUUAAAUCUUUUAAAUAUAUAUGUGGAUUAGGGUUUCGGUCUUUCGUUGAUAAUAUAGAAAAACAUCUAUUAACAUCAUAUAUAAUAGCUGUGUGAAACCAUAAGCUUGAACUCCAUGAAGGAAAGAAUGGAAGAUAGAUAGAUUUUCAAGUAUAGAGACUAAGAUGAAAAUAGUUGCAUUCACAAAUCUAAUUUAUACACUGCAGUGAUAGAAUUAUUUAUACUAGUAUCGAUCCUUUGUAUCUCUAACUAAGGGUAGUUGCAUAUCAUAACUAACUCCUAGUAAACAGUUAGAUAACUAACAACUAGUUAUUCAACUAGUUUCUAACUAAUGUCUGCUUCAAGUAAUCACACUUUACCCUUCUCAGUUCCACAAUUAACAAGCUGGACAAAAACAUAUAUACAUACUAAUAUACUAGUGUGAAGACGUCCUCGUGAACUUAACUCAGUUGGUAGGAACAAUUCAUAAUAUAUGCAAGAUUCGGGGUUCAAACCCUGACCACAAAAAAAAAAAAAAAAGUACUAGCAUGAAGACGAACACCGAUUUGUCCUUGUGUCCGUUUUUUUAAUGAUACUUCAUCUAAUCUUAUUUAUAAGAGAUAUUUAGAUCAACAAAAAUUGAUGUAUCCAGUUCAAAAUUUGGAUCAGAUACAUAAACUUUUGUUGACCCAAAUAUCUUCUAUAAAUAGGAUUGGAGGAAGUAGUAUAGUUGAUAUUCAUCGUAAAGAAAACUAAUUUUAAACUAUCAAGAAACAAAGUUGGUGUAUACUUGUACACUAAAUAACAAAGGCAAAGGAAGUUAAUUUUUUUACUUAUUUUGUACUCAAUUUAUUUAUAUGCGUAAAUAAAUUUAAAUGGCUUACUAGGAAAUAUUAUAAUAGUUGAUAAAAAAUAUUUUAUAAAAUUGUAAUAUUCGUAUUUCCUCAAAAAAAAAUUGUAAUAUUCGUAUAUUUAUUUGCAUUUUUUUAAAUAUUUAUUUUUUGUUUUUCGUAAUAUAUUUGAGCCAACUUAAAAUCAAUUUACAAUAAAUUUUUCUAUAUAUUUAUUAUGAAAAAAAUAAUUGAGUUCCAAAAAAAAUAUUUACAAAUUUAUAAAAUCCUUUUUUUUUUAGCUUAUAAAAUCCUUUUUAUCAACUAUUAUAAUACUAUAUAUUUAUCUCCCUUAAAAAAAACUAUAUAGUUGUUAAAAAAAAAAAAAAAAACUAUUACAAUACUUCCUUCGUUCAUUUUAAGUUUUUUUUUUUUGUUUUUGUCAAGUAGUAUAGUGGCUAUAAUUCACAUUUUUUAAGGUGAAUAAGUGAGAUGUCCGGUGUUCGAACCCCAACUCCUGCAUAUAACAAUGCAUGUCCCUGUCAACUUAUACUCACGGGAACUUUUAAAUUUCCAUUUUAAAUGGUGUAUGCAGUAAUGUACAGCACUACGUCUAAGCUUACAAGUUACACCUAGAAAAAUCAAUUAAUUUUGAGCUCAUUCAUCCACUCCGAUUUGAAAUUUGAAACUCAUAUAUUGAUGAUAAAUUGCUACUCUCCGAUUUUAUUUAUAAGAAAAAAUUGACUUUUUAGAUUCAUUAUGUAAUUAAUGUAUCUUGUCUAAAAAAUAGACCAAAUACAUCGUUAUGAUUAUGAAUAAAAAAGUUAAAUAUUUUUUAUAAAUAGAAUCAACAAAUUCUAUAUAAAAGUCAAAUUCAGAUCUAUGGUAGCUUCAAAACCUUACAAAUUCUAUAUAAAACUCAAAUCCAGAUCUCUGGUAGCUUCCAACUUACAAAUUCUAUGUAAAAGUGAAAUCCAGCUAAGCGUACACAAGUAUCUCUGUAUCAUGUCUACCAAAACCAACCAAUUGGACAUUAUUUUAAAGAGUUGACCAUCAAAAUCUCAACUAUGUUCAAAGCAAAAAACUAUAUCCUUUAAUCUAUUCAGUUUGCUUUUUUUUCUUUUUUCUUUUUUCUUUUAUACUAAUUUAUUUUUAGUUUCAAAAGGAAAUGGUUAAAUUAAAUAAGAUAGUGAAGUCAAGGUGAGCCAGACUUAUAUAUGAAUCAAAUCCUCUUUUCCCUUUUUUCUUUUGUUUUUUAAAAAUAAAAACCUCUCAAACAUUUAGGAUUGAAAAUGAGUCUAGCCGAGUCUAACAUGGUUGGUUCUAUUCGACCCGAUAAUCAUUGAAUUGGUUUAAAACUCAACUCAAGUUGUCGCAAACAUUUUUUUCAUGCUCGAAAUCAACUGGAUUCAAGUUCAUGAACAACUUGGUUCAUUUUGAUAAGAUCAAAUGAACCAAAAGAGAAAGGAAAAAAAGGACUGCAUGUUUUUCUUCAAUUAAUCUCAAAUUAUGGGUCACAUAAUUCAAAAUAGGCUCAAUGAUCAAUUUUCUCAUUACUCUGCAAUAUGUCCUCUUUCUUAAUAAAUUCUAGCUAAAACCUUUUUUUUUAUUGUUAGUAUUUUGCAAAAAUAUAACAAGAAAAUUAUAUAAUGACAUGGAUUUAUUUUUAUCCAUCGAGGACGUAUCCAGGAAUUUUAAUCAGUAAGGGUGUCAUAAUUUAUAUAAAUAAUUACACAACAAAUAUAUAAAGACAAGUGAUAAAACGACAACAUUGAUAAUUUUCAUUAUGUAAAAUAUUGGAGAUUACAAAAAAAAUAAAUUGCAUUGAAUAUAUAAAAGUUAAAGUCACCUUAACAUUCUAAGAUUAUUUUUUUUUUAAAGACUAAACGAAUAUAUUAAUAAACCAAAGUAAGCCUCUCUAGUAUAAGAUGUACCAAAAAUUAUAGAAAACAAACUAAGCUACAACAAGUAGCCAAAAACCCAAAAAUUAUAAAAAAAAAAAAAAAUACGAGAGAGCCCGUAAACACAACAAAGGGUUCAAUCUUCAAGUAGAGUAAUAAAAAUCGAAUAAAAUGUAAUACAAUUUUGACCACCAGAAAGUUUGGAGUUUAACCUUUUCAGAUAAAGAUAGAAGAUGUUCCGUCUUAUUAUAAAAAAUCUCUUUCGUUGCGCGUCUUCCAAAUAGUAAAAAGCACCGAAAUCCAUAUUAUGUUAAAAGUCAAGUGAGACUUCUUGGAAAAUCUCCAUAGCCCACUAAACCGAAUAGAAUGAUCUAUUAAAGUACCAUAAAAAACCGUUGAAAUUCCUAACCAUCCUGAUAUAACGAGCCUAAGUCGACCAUAUAAAUCACAAUUAAUAAAUAAAUGGCCCCGAUCUUCCACAAAACUACAAUCAAUCGAACAAAAAGUAUCAGAAUUCACCAAAAUAUGCCAUCUAAACAAGUUAUCAUUUAUUGCUAAAUGAUUCAAGAAAAAAAAAACUCCGAAUAAAAAUAUUAACCUUGAGCGUAACCGCCUUGAGCCACAACACAUGAUUGAAACCUUCAUUAUAAACAACUUUAGCAGCAGUCAAGUUAUUAUAAGCACUUUUGACCACCGUUGUGGAGAAUAAAGCUUCCAAACCCACCAAUCUGCCACUCCAACCUGCAAAACAACAUGAGGCAACCGACCCAUACACCUGCUCACCAAUCCCUCCUCCCACGCAAACAACCUCCUUCGCCAUUUCACACCUCACCUUUAACCUCCCAACCCAAAAAGUUCAUCUCUGCAACAGUAGUUAAUUUAUUGUCAGCCAAAUAAAAAAGCCUACUACUACAAUGAGCUUCUAAAGUGGAUCCAUCAAGCCUGGGAUCCUUUCAAAACAACAUAGACAUCUCAUCCCAUACAUCUAUAGUAAUAUUAUCCAACAACCACUGCUCGUCUAACAUGCCAACCCCCAUUCUAAUUAGGUUCAAGUUUUGCCACCAAACCCAUCCUCCAAAACAUAACUCCCCACCCCCAUACAUAUCUCGCACAAGGCACUUUAUACCACAUACUCUCCCUUUCCUCCAACACCUUCAAAACUCAUUUCUCAAGUAAAGAUAAAUUAAACUCCUUCAACCUCAUCACCCCCAGACCUCCAUUCUCCCUUUGUAAACAUAAAAUAUCAUAUUUGAUCCAAGACAAUUUCCUAAAAUCCUCACAACCUCUUCCAUCCACAGUACAAACCGAUAUGGACGACAGUACAAACCGAUCCCCCACAUAAAUAUUUUUACUCUUCCAUCUAGACAGUCUACUACGAAUACGCUCAACAAAAGAGUACCAAACUGAAGCUUUCUUGGAUCCCACCAAUGGGCAACCCCAAGUAUAAAAAAGGGAUUCAACCAUGAUUACAAUUCAUUACCACCGUCGCCUCAUGUAACCACGACUCAGCCACAUUUACCCCAAACAACAUACUUCUUUGAAAAUUCAAUUUUAAACCAAAAAUCCGCUCAAACAAAAUUAAAAUUGUCUUCAACGCUCUAAGAAUUAUAUUUGUUUUAUAUGUCACUUCAUUUUUUUUUUAAUAGAUGCAAGAUUUUUAUUUUUAAUAUUAUCAAAUAUAUCACUCUCUAUCAACUAGAAGGGAGACAAGUAGAAGGGAGUUAGUGUUAAUUUCUUAACGUGGGGGUGGUGCAUGUGUGAAGUUCAUUUUUUAAUUUCAUUUGCUGCUUUAGAAAGAAACAACAAUGGUUUCUGUUGAAAUUUGAAAACAUUUUAAUCCCUUGAGGCAAAGUCGUUGAUUUUUCAAAGUAUACACAACACCAAUAUUUCAACAAACAUGAUAUUAGUUUGUUUAGGCUUUAUUAGGGCCUUUGAGAAGACAUAUCACUAUUCGAGGUGGAUCCUUGUGUUGCACCGCAUAGAAAACCAAAUACAGUAAAUUGCAUGACUUUAUUUUUGACAACAUGAUAGCCAUUGUGAUUUUACGUCACAAAUUUUUUUAUAAUACGGGAAAUUUUAACGAGUGUCAUGGGGCACAGACCUUUAAAAGGUAACUUUUAAAAAAAAAUUAUAAUCAAUGCAUUGAAAAUUGAAACAUUUAACUUUUUUCAUGGAAUAAUUUCUCCUUUUGGAAUGCUUAAAGAGUGUCUCGGAGACACUCGUUAAUAAGACCCUUAUUAUACAACACAAAGCAUAAAAAAGAUAUAUUAAUUGAACUAUACAUCCAUAAUUUUUUCCUUCUAUUUGUCAUAGGUUCUCUACAUGGGAGAUAGUUUUUUACGACAAAAUGCAAGACACUACAUAUUGACACAUCUCCCUACUAGGAUGCUACAUUAAUGGUAUGAGAAUAGAUCCUUCCGCCUGACAUAACCUUUGUUCCAUCUCUAAAAUGUCACAAAUUCCCUUUUACAAAAGCUGAAGAAAAGUAUUUGGGUUCAUUCUUGAAAUCGGAAUACAAAUAAGAUCAUUGGCUCUAGGAGCGGUCAAUCCAGGUCUUUCAUCCAUAUCGAUUGUUUUGCCUCGAUCUAAUAUUUUACCUUCGGAGUCAAGCAUUUUCCACUCAAAGCAUUGCACCAAAGCCCCGACUACGGUGGGCAAUUGGCGCAUGGCCAACGGCAUACCAGGGCAGCCUCUCCUUCCAGAACCAAAUGGUAGCAACUCAUAGUGAUGCCCUUUCAUAUCUAUAUUGUUUCCUUCUUUGUUUUCUAAAAACCUUUCUGGCUUAAAAUCUAAUGCAUUUUCCCAUAUCUUUUGGUCUCUUCCCAUAGCCCAAAUGUUCACACAAACCAUUGAUCCUUUUGGAACCAUUUUACCAUCAACAACACAAUCUUCCAUUCCUUUCCUCAUAAUCAUCGGUAUCGGAGGGUGAAGCCUCAUGGUUUCUUUUAUGAUGGCAUGUAUAUAAGGAAGGUUUGGACUGUCUUCUUCACACACUAAUCUUUCCUUUCCUACAACUCUCUCUACCUCCUCUUGAGCUUUUUUCAACACCCUUGGAUUGUUAAACAGUUCUGAUAUUGCCCAUUCGACUGAGAUGGCAGUAGUGUCGGUAGCUGCUGUGAAGUAAUCCUGAAAUAUAUAUCAACAAUAAUCGAUAGAUAUAAACAUCAAAAGUAAAAACUGUAGAAAUAAAAAUUAGUUAUUGUUGUUAUUAUUAUUGAAAAUAUUGGUUUAAGUGUAUUUUUGUGUGUAUUUCUAAAAAUGAGUUGGAUUUGUAGUUGUGACCAUAUAAAAACAUAAUAAACAUGAGGAGAAGAUGUAUAUGUACCAAGAUCAAUGAUUUGAUAUGACUUCUAGUAAAAUUGACUUCAAGGUCUUUCUCCUCAAAGACAUUAAGCAAAAUGUCAAGAAAAUCUUUCAGUCUCUCUUCUUCACCAUUCUCACCACCACCAUCUAUUAGCUUGGCUUCCCUUCUUAGUUCUUCACGAUCAGAAAUAAUCUUAUCCAACAAAGCAUCAUACCUCUUGUGUAUGUCCAAGGCCCUUUUUUUAAAACCUUGCAAGUCAAAGUUCUUGAAAAAUCCUAUAAAAUCCGAAACAUUAAAUUCUCCAAAAAUUUGUGUUACCUCGCGAACCAAAGCCCUAACUUGUUCUGCUUGGUUAUCUGUUCCUGAGCAAUCAAUACUCAACAUCAUCCGUGAUAUUAUGUUGUUGGAAAGCUUUAUCAAAGCUUGUGUGAGGUUCAAACUUUCUCUGGCCUUAGAUUUAUUUGUCAAUGUUUGAAUGAAUUCAUCGAGUUCUUGGGUUCGAAUCGGUAGGAAUUGCCCAAUGGUUCGGUUACCCAAGAGCUCAGUGGUGCUGAGCUUUUUAAUAAAUUUCCAAUA